UCUCCCCCAUUGUGUUUCAUUAAAGGGGUAUUCCCCUUCCGAACAUUUCUAGCAUGUCCACUGGAUGCGGGUCAGAACUCUAGGACAGCAUCAAUCUUAUGUUCUCGGGCUCCCCAGCCUAACUCGACCUGUUAUAUCCGCUAGAGGUGAUGGAAAGUCAGGUUCCUGAGCUGCAGUUUUGUGACUAUUACAGAAGGAACAGUGUUUCGGGUCUUUGCUAGAUUAUUGACUUUGACCAUCUGGCUCACAUUACGAGAGUCUUAGACACAUCUGAUCAUUGGGGAAUUGAGAUGGAGGAUCACUCACCGAAAAUUACAUCUUUUUGUAUAUACUAUUUUAAUUAUAUGCCACUAGGAGCUCAUAUACAGCUUGUAUGCAUUAUGUUUUAAGAACUGUUUUCUUCUGUAAAAUGAGGCCACCUUACUGAAGCACUAAUGCAUUGGGUUGCACUUCUUCAUAUAGUGCCUCCUAGUGCCUCUGAAACCUGGAGUCACUAUCAUUUGAUGGUGUUCCUGGUAGUAAGGGAAUUGGGAUGCUAGGUAUGUGAUGGGGCUCCGCCGCUGCAUGGCUUUACCAUGCGCUGGAUAUAGGGAACUGGAAGAUUGCUGUGCGCCGCUAUAGCUAUAUGUGUGUAGGUGUGCCCACAGUUAAGAUGGCGGAUACACUUUUCUCAUGUGGUUUGCGUAAGCUCGGCCGUGCACUUUACCUGACUUGUUCACAUGACUGCUAGUGAUGCUACUUCUGGCUCUUGCAGUCGGCGUCUGUAACUCCACGGUAAUGGCGUCCUCGGGGCGCUGUAUUCACAUCUUCCUUGUUUCUCAAAUGAUGGCUCCUGGAAGACAUUUAAGGACCGCGGUGCAGUGCCUGACAUCAAUAUAUCAAUGGGGCGGAGCAGCAAUACCAGACAAAACAACAUAGACCAAAGCAGCACUGAGUUGGGUACUAAGGGAGCCCUGGCCCCCUUCUUUCUGAUGAUGAUUGUGGGGUCCGGUGUCACAAAAAUGUCAAGCAUUAAAAGGGUUGCCUGGCCCCACAAACUUCUUGUGCUUCCCAUUUUCAUUUCUACAUGCAGGAAGUGCCUACUUAGUCACUUAGUCAGCCGGUAAUCAGGAAGCCUGCUGUGGGGGUGUCCCUAAUGGCACUCGCUCCGAGGGUGAGAGUGGGUGCCGGGAGCGUGUACCUGUAGCGGGGGCCCCCAGAACUGAGACCGCAGCGGUGGCGGCAGGAUGACAGGCAGGAUGUGCGCAGCAGCAGGAAGUAAGGCCGUGCUUCCUGCUGUUGCCUAGCAACAACAGAAGGCACAACUACAACUCCCAGCAUGCAACUGGACGCACAUUUUUUCUAUGAAAAAGUGUGCCUCCAGCAAAUGCAUAACUACAACCCCCAGCAUGCACAAACUACCAAAGGGCAUG